AAUAGAUACCCGGGUAGUCCACGCCGUAAACGAUGAGUGCUAAGUGUUAGAGGGUUUCCGCCCUUUAGUGCUGCAGCUAACGCAUUAAGCACUCCGCCUGGGGAGUACGGUCGCAAGACUGAAACUCAAAGGAAUUGACGGGGGCCCGCACAAGCGGUGGAGCAUGUGGUUUAAUUCGAAGCAACGCGAAGAACCUUACCAGGUCUCGACAUCCCACUGACCGGUAUAGAGAUAUACCUUUCCCUUCGGGGACAGUGGUGACAGGUGGUGCAUGGUUGUCGUCAGCUCGUGUCGUGAGAUGUUGGGUUAAGUCCCGCAACGAGCGCAACCCUUGAUCUUAGUCGCCAGCAUUUAGUUGGGCACUCUAAGGUGACUGCCGGUGACAAACCGGAGGAAGGUGGGGAUGACGUCAAAUCAUCAUGCCCCUUAUGACCUGGGCUACACACGUGCUACAAUGGAUGGUACAAAGGGCUGCAAGACUGCGAAGUCAAGCCAAUCCCAUAAAACCAUUCUCAGUUCGGAUUGCAGG
rnacentral:rRNA from 1 species